UUGUUGGAGGCUUACCUCUUGGUGAACUUCAAUGCACUUUACUGUGUGGUGGAGGGAACCAGGAAUUUUACUUUGAAAAUAUUAGAGUGUUCAAAGCAGGCUUAUGCCUGAAUAAAUUGGCAUGGAACAAUAAAUUAGGACAUGUGAUUCUAUUUUAUUGGUUUCUAGGAUUACCAUGAUGAUGAAUAGGGUCAGUUGGGGGCAUUUGUAUACAUUGUCAGAGGUACAAUUAUUGGAUUAAUUUAAGACAAACUACUCCAAAAGCAUCUGCCAAAAGAACAAAGUUGAAGGGUUCAAAAACAAUCAGAUAUCAUUGUAGUCCUAUCAGUAAACUAUACGGACUGGGGAUCAGACCAGGAUUUAUAAUGUGGGAGUACAGUCACAAGGCUGAAACUUGAAGGAAUUGACAGCAGGGAACCACCAGGUAUGGAGCCUGUGGCUUAAUUUGACUCAACACGGUGUGGAAAGAAUAACUGUCUCAGUAGGUAACUGAGUGUCCUUCUCCGAUGUGUAUUGAGUACUC
rnacentral:ncRNA from 1 species